GGCGGAGGGGGCUAGCGUUGUUCGGAAUUACUGGGCGUAAAGCGUGCGUAGGCGGCCUUUCAAGUUGGGUGUGAAAGCCCGGGGCUCAACCCCGGAAAUGCGCCCAAGACUGUUUGGCUAGAGUCUCGGAGAGGUGAGUGGAACUCCCAGUGUAGAGGUGAAAUUCGUAGAUAUUGGGAAGAACACCAGUGGCGAAGGCGGCUCACUGGACGAGUACUGACGCUGAGGCACGAAAGCGUGGGGAGCAAACAGG
rnacentral:rRNA from 1 species